CCUACGGGGGGCAGCAGUGGGGAAUAUUACACAAUGGGGGAAACCCUGAUGCAGCGACGCCGCGUGAGUGAAGAAGUAUUUCGGUACGUAAAGCUCUAUCAGCAGGGAAGAAAAUGACGGUACCUGACUAAGAAGCCCCGGCUAACUACGUGCCAGCAGCCGCGGUAAUACGUAGGGGGCAAGCGUUAUCCGGAUUUACUGGGUGUAAAGGGAGCGUAGACGGCAGCGCAAGUCUGGAGUGAAAUCCCAUGGCUUAACCAUGGAACUGCUUUGGAAACUGUGCAGCUAGAGUGCAGGAGAGGUAAGCGGAAUUCCUAGUGUAGCGGUGAAAUGCGUAGAUAUUAGGAGGAACACCAGUGGCGAAGGCGGCUUACUGGACUGUAACUGACGUUGAGGCUCGAAAGCGUGGGGAGCAAACAGGAUUAGAUACCCGGGUAGUC
rnacentral:rRNA from 1 species